UACGUAGGGUGCGAGCGUUGUCCGGAAUUAUUGGGCGUAAAGAGCUCGUAGGCGGUUCGUCGCGUCGAAUGUGAAAACCCGGGGCUCAACUCCGGGCCUGCAUUUGAUACGGGCGGACUAGAGUUCGGUAGGGGAGACUGGAAUUCCUGGUGUAGCGGUGAAAUGCGUAGAUAUCGGAAGGAACACCUGUGGCGAAAGCGGCUCACUGGACCAUUACUGACGCUGAUGCACGAAAGCUAGGGGAGCAAACAGG
rnacentral:rRNA from 1 species